GGCUAACGCUGGCGGCGCGCCUAACACAUGCAAGUCGAACGAACCUUCGGGUUAGUGGCAGACGGGUGAGUAACGCGUGAGCAACGUGCCUUCUUUCUGGGGAUACCGUUUGGAAACGAACGUUAAUACCGAAUGUGGUGCAGUGACGGCAUCGUCGUUGUACUAAACUGUUUUUAGGGAGAGAAGAGCGGCUCGCGUACUAUCAGCUAGAUGGUGGGGUAAUGGCCUACCAUGGCUACGACGGUUAACUGGUCUGAGAGGAUGAUCAGUCACACUGGAACUGAGACACGGUCCAGACUCCUACGGGAGGCAGCAGUGAGGAAUCUUGCACAAUGGGCGAAAGCCUGAUGCAGCGACGCCGCGUGAGGGACGAAUGCCUUCGGGUUGUAAACCUCUGUCAGUGGGGAAGAAGAAUGACGGUACCCACUGAGGAAGCUUCGGCUAACUACGUGCCAGCAGCCGCCGUAACAC
rnacentral:rRNA from 1 species